GUCAUUGUUCUGGACACUGGAGACAAAACAGGACAAAGACUCUGUUCUUAGGGAAUGUGAAAUCCAGUGAAAAAAAAGAUAAAGAAAGAAUUCCGCAGUGACCUGGCCAUCUGGUGGUGACGGGAUGGCCUGAGGGGGCCUUGGUGUCAGUGGCCCUGGUGCACUGCCUUUUCCAUUCACUCAGAGACUUAGAUAUAGUGUAUUAAGUCACUGAGAACAAGUGUUCUGCCAUGUACCGUCUACAGAUUAUUAAUUGUGGUGGAGGAAAAUAUACUUUUACAAUGGGAAGAUCUGGCAGAUGUCUUCUAACCAAUGAAUGUGACAUGAUCAAGGUGAUAUCAACUGACAUGAUCUUCCUGAUGAGAGGCAAUGGGAAAUACACAGAUGGAUAGGCUUCUCACCAAAGAAUGUCUCACCCUGAAUCUAAUCAAGAGAAAAUAAGCAAACAAAUUCAGAUUAUAGGGUAUUAUGUUAGGCAGGGCAAUGAGCCAUUCAAAACUAUUAAUAUGAAAUUCAAAAAGUAAAUACAUAAAUACAUAAAAGCAAGGUGAGGGGAAUUAAAAGAGACUAAAGAGACUUUAUUUUGGGGUGUUUGGGUACUGGAUCCAAACAUGAAGGAAAGUACACAGGAAAGGAUAGGAGGAAGGAAGAAAAUAUCUACAAAGGGCAUUUAGGAGACAAAUGGGGAAUUUUGAAUAAAGUCAUGUUAUUAGAGAAUAUUUUUGGUAUUAAAUUCCUUGAAUCUGACUGUUAAUGAAAGAGCAUGAAUGCCUUUGUUUUUUGCUGUUAGCUGGAGAUACCAGCUAAAGUAUCUUAGAUGUGAAAUCCCACGAAAUCUGCAACUUUCAAAUGAUUCCAGAAGAAAAUGAACAUAUGGCACGAAAGACAGAGAGGGAAACAAACACGGCAAAAUGCUUGGUGAAUCAUGAUGAAGCUUCUUGUGAAAGUCAAGUCCAGAAUGUGCUCAGUAAUGAAAGUAAAUAGGGCACAGAACAUGAGAACAUGAACAGGCCUGGAGAAGAGAUGUCCCAAGUCCAUCAUUGCGCAAAGGAGGAAACUGAAGCCCAGAGAGGAAGACAAGUGACCCAGGAUGACAGCUACUGAGUGGAGCAGAGUCAUACCUGGCCCUGAAUCUUCAGACUUCCAGCCUGAGCCUCCCAAGCCUCAUCUUUUGUUGUUUGGCAAAAAGGGCUGCAUAGCAAUGCAAAGUCAGGUGGAACGGAGCACAGGCCUAAGCUUGGCAAAUGUCCCUGAAAACCUGUUGCGAUGAUUAAAAGUUAAUAUGUGUUGGGCGCUUCACACAGUGUCUGGGCCAUAGCAGAUGCUCAGAAGAGGGCUGUCCAUGGGAAAAGUCCACACUGGGUCAUCCCAAGAAAGAUGGGUUUGUUGUGCCCGUGCUUUCACCCGCAUCAAGCCCACAAUUACCCAGUGUCCAUUCCAUGAAGGUGUGGAAAAGGGUCUUUGAUCAAUUUAAAGAUUAGUUUGGUAGUCAUAGAUAGAUAGAGUGAAUGCAACAUGAAGAGAAAAGUCUCAAUGUUUUUUCUAGGAACUGCUAUAGGAAUGAGUUUGGUGACUUUCACUAUCUGAGAUCCCUUAUCUGCAUCUCUAAGCCUGAGGCUCAGCCUGAAUGAAGGACCAGUGUUUCCCCCAUGUGCAGUCUGAGGCCCACUUGGAAAUGCUCCCCUGGGCUUGGAAAAUUCCCCAAGGGGAGAAAGAUCCAUGUCAGUCCCUACCCAGGGCUUCCAGCAUGGAGGUGGCUGGAGGAGGCAGGCUGGCUGGCUCUGCAUUCUUCAUGCCCCUGUUCUCUAUGGCAGGCCUCCUGCAGUCUCUGUGCUGACAUUAAGUGGUCUGAGCAGUGCUGUGGGAGGACAUGGUAAACUUGCCUGCUUGUAACAGAGAAGCGAGGGCUUUGGUGACUUCCAAGAUUUAAGCAUACAUUUUUCCAAAUCUUUUGGACCCUAACAUGCAUGGUCUGAGAACUUCUUGGCUCACUGCUGAAUCCCCUUAACCCCACAGCCACCCGUUUGUUCACUGUCCUCAUUAUGCUCCCUCCCUGUCCCUGCCUAGGGCAACAGGAGCCUCAGAGCCUUGUAUACAACCACUGUGGCUGUAUUUUCCUUAUUUUGAUACAGAACUCACUCCAGGCUUCAUUUCCUUCUCCUCCUAUUUCAAACCCUCUCUUGCCUGGGACUUCCCAGCCUCAACCUUGUUGACAUCACUCCCAGGUUCUCCUUUCUGGCUUUCAUCUAGCUGCUUCUCAGUGCAGCAUCUUUGAAUCCACCCCUUCAGCAACACACUCAACAGUUACAAGCACCUGAAGUCCUGUUCUUGGGGCCAACCCAGUAACCAGAUCUAGGUUGGGCUCAGGGCCAAGGUGCAGGGGAGAUAGAAACGUUUCCAACAAUAUCUAAAUUCAAUUUCUGUGACAGCCAGUGUCAUUGCCCUCAUCCAUCCCAUGCCCAGUAUCCUUUGGGCCCUAAAGUUUCAGUAUCUACAUCUUUGUACAUGAGGGUUUUUACCCCUUCCUUUCCUUAGAAGUGCCACAGCCCCCAGAGUAGCUUUCAACAAACACUAACAACACUAACAAGAGGUGGUGUGUAAAUACUCCAGCUUCCCUGUGCCUCAGGUGGUAAGGCUCUGAGAAGUGGGUUUCCCACCACGGUCUUUCCAUGGGUUAAGGUCUCAGCCAGGGUAACUGGUUUAGUAACUCACAUGUUAUUGGCAGCUUUCACUUCUCUACCACACCCCUCCAGUGGACCCUACAUCUUCCAAAUAAACCUCUUGUGCUCAAAUCUGUGUCUUAAAGUUAGCUUCCAGGGAAAGCCAAAGUAAGACAGUUUUGAAACUCAUUCCUUGGUGGGAAAUUGGAAAUGGACCAAGACUAGAAAGGAUGAGUAGGCUGUUGUCAUGCCACACCGACGGAGGUGCUCAAUCUGGGCUCUAAGCAGUGCCCAGCCUACACACGCGACCUUGAUGGAGGUCACCCCCCUCCAUGUGAAGCCCUCAGCAGCUCACCCACCUCACCCUGGUCCUGGCCCCACCUGUGGAGGAAUCUGAAGUGGCAUCCUGAAUGCUAAUUCUUAUUAUCUGUAAUAGCAUCACCAGUUUGGAGUUGCCUGAUAAUUUCAUAUCUAUGCAAUUAUUGUUAAUGUAACUAUCUUCCAUUUUAGAAUGUGAUCUCUGAAAGAUCUUGUGCUAGUUUGAAUCAUUUUCAGAUUAUGUAAUAGGACACUGUGAGGACUAAAUUGUUUUUCCUUUCUCCCUAAAUUCAUCUUGGAGCCCUAAACCUCAAUGUGACUGUAUUUGGAGAUAAAGCCUUUAAUUAGGUAAGUAAGGGUACAUGAGGUCAUAAAGAUGGGGCCCAGAUCUGAUAGGACUGUUGGUAACAGACACCAGAAAUCUCCUCUCCUGUGCACUCAAAGAGACUCUAUGUGCCCAGAGCGAGACGGUGGCUGCCCAGAAGCCAAAAGAAGAGGCCUCAGCGUGCAACCUACCUUUCCAUGC
ensembl:lncRNA